GACGAACGCUGGCGGCGUGCUUAACACAUGCAAGUCGAGCGAGGUCCAUCCGGUGGCAACACCGGGGAAGACCUAGCGGCGAACGGGUGAGUAACACGUGAGCAACCUGCCCCGAAGACUGGGAUAACACCGGGAAACCGGUGCUAAUACCGGAUGCCCUCCUCUGGUCGCAUGGCCUAGGGAGGAAAUGAAUUUUGCUUCGGGAGGGGCUCGCGGGCUACCAGCUUGUUGGUGGGGUAACGGCUCACCAAGGCGACGACGGCUAGCUGGUCUGAGAGGACGACCAGCCACACUGGGACUGAGACACGGCCCAGACUCCUACGGGAGGCAGCAGUGGGGAAUCUUGCGCAAUGGGCGAAAGCCUGACGCAGCGACGCCGCGUGAGGGAUGACGGCCUCGGUUGUAA
rnacentral:rRNA from 1 species